ensembl:lncRNA
CAGAAAGACUGGAAUUUUCAUGUCAAGUUGAUCGUCACCUUCCAAAUUGACAUGAGAACGUCACGAGAGUUGACCUUGACGUCUCGGGAAGAAAAAAUAUAAACAGGCCAGAAAGUGAGAACACAAUUUGUGAAAUAAACGAGUAGCAGCCCACGCCGUCAUUCCGCCAUGUCCGGAUGGAGAGAUGAGCCUGAUGGUGGAGUGGAUGUGUGAUUGGGAAAGCGCUGCCUUCUGUUUGUUUAGUGCUCCAUGCGUGGUGGCGAAGGGCCGCCUGAAACGGACGCCGUAAAUAUUGCCAUUGAUCGAGGAGCAGGGGGCCCUACGAUGAUGCAGAGCCAGCGUGCCUCCGGAGUAAAUCUGCCCGACAGUAAUCCAAUCCAAUUCUCAAGGCUCUCGGAUCUCAGAUAGAGCGUUAUGGACCCGGAGUGUUCUUCGCAGCCCUGGCCGAGGUCCAAGUCGCUCCUUCGUGCGCUCAUCUGCUGGUCCAAGAGGUCAGCGAUGUCGAGGCUGACUUCCUGAACAUCUGCCCGAGCUGAUCAAAGGCCGCCGGGCUAUUUCUGAGCUCCACACUGCUCCAGCGCAGGCAGAUCCACCAUCUUCUGUUUGUUUAUCUCUUCAUAAUGUUUCUACUAUUUGUUUUUUCCUCAUUUAUUUUCAUUUGUG